ACGCUCGACACCUACGGGAGGCAGCAGUGGGGAAUAUUGCACAAUGGGGGAAACCCUGAUGCAGCGACGCCGCGUGAGCGAAGAAGUAUUUCGGUAUGUAAAGCUCUAUCAGCAGGGAAGAAAGUGACGGUACCUGACUAAGAAGCACCGGCUAAAUACGUGUCAGCAGCCGCGGUAAUCUGAGCGGGCUGGCAAGGC
rnacentral:rRNA from 1 species